CUCUGCAGGACUCAGACCCGUCAGUCCACCACAACCACCAUGACUCUCAUCACCCUCCUCAUCUGGACGCUGGCCUGCUGCAGCUUCACAGGAUGCAGCGGGGAAAUGACUGUGACUCAGCCUCCGGUCGUGACAUUUACUCCAGGAUCCACUGUCAGUCUGACCUGUAACACCAACCCCAGUGUUUAUAGUAAUUGGGUGUCCUGGUACCAGCAGAAACCUGGACAAACUCCCAAGCUUCUUAUAUACUCUAUAUCAAGUCUUCAUUCAGGAACUCCCCCUCGAUUCAGUGGCAGUGGCAGUAACUCUGGUUCUAGUUUCACCUUAACCAUCAGCGUUGUUCAGGCUGAAGAUUUUGGAGAUUAUUACUGUGCCGGUGGUGAUAGUAGCUAUCGGUUCACACAGUGA